AAAUUUCGCGUCCACUCCACGGCUACCACAAGCAAGCAGGAGAGGGUAGUCCGAUUUGGCCCGGCGUGAAGGGUGGAAGGGUCGUCGUGCCGACGUGCACAAGGUGGCCGUUAAAAAUGUGUCGAUCGUUGUGAAUCGCGUCACCGAUGAAAGUGCGAAAGUGUCGGGUGCAUGGUCGGCAAGGUCGGCCCCGUCACGACGACGGCCGAACCCUUUGGCCAGCUGGAUGUCCGAGCAAAAUCCGGGCAUGAGAUAGUUCUGGUUGGAGAGUCCGGAACGUGACGGAUCGGACGCGGGAUUUGCCGCGGAACACCCCGCCCCACUGGGCCGGGACACGCGAAACACCCCGAACGGGAAGCGACGACGAAUUUGGCCAGAAGGGAGCCAGGAAUCAGCGGAAACGAUCAAAACGAGCAGCAGGACAAGCCCGAGCAGAACACAUCCACAAAUCAGCCAUCAAAAGACCCUCCCUUGAAGGGUCUUAUUGUGGGAAUUACGAAUCCGCUCUUGGCUCAUCUAAGCUCGUCCUCCGCAAGGUUCCGGAGCUGGAUUCUGCACGUCAAGGCUGGUGGGGAUCGGCCAUUCAGGACAUCGGCGCGAGAGUCAUCACAAGCGCUCGGAUUUGCAUCGCGUGGCAUUCGAGGAACGAUUCGGGCUGGCACCUCAAUCCGGUCCAACCUGCCAGAGACAGCAAAGGAUGCCGGAGGCGGCGUGCGGCCGCUUGGAACGUACGGAGAUCGUGGGAACCUGGUCGCCGGCAGAGAAAGAAUAAGAGGACAUGGAAGCAGCUGCAGAGCGGCGCACGUGGAGGAUGCUGUAGCGGGCGAGCGUGAGUAGCGAAGGAGCGAGGGGUGAGAGGAAGAAAAGCGCAAAGAAAAGCGCAAGGAAGAGCGGAAAGAAGAGCGCAACAAGAAGAAGAGAAGUUGUGGGUAGACAUUUUGGGGUUUAAUAGAUGUACUUGCUCAA